UGGGGAAUAUUGGACAAUGGGCGAAAGCCUGAUCCAGCCAUGCCGCGUGUGUGAAGAAGGUCUUCGGAUUGUAAAGCACUUUAAGUUGGGAGGAAGGGCAGUAAGUUAAUACCUUGCUGUUUUGACGUUACCGACAGAAUAAGCACCGGCUAACUUCGUG
rnacentral:rRNA from 2 species